GGGGGGGGAAAGGAAAUGGAUAAUCUUUGCAGGGGAAGAUAGAACGAAACUCCUCCUACGCACCGCCACUCCCUCCACCUCCGACAAUCCUCCUCCUCCUCCUCCUUCAUUUUUUGGCUGGUUUUGCUGUGCUUCCUUCCUCUCUUCCCUCCUCCCAUGGCAUCAUUAUCAGCAACAUUAUCUUUGCUGCUCUCCUCGGUGCCGCCUCACAGGCUCUCCCGUCGCUCCCACUCCUUCCGUUCGUCGUCGUCGUCGUCCAAUGCAAAGCAGCUCUCUGUCCCGAUCCUCGACUUCAAGCCCCUCCUCGCCUUCCCUUUUCCUCUCAAACCUACCGCCGCCUCCCCCUCCUCCCCCUUCACCCCGCGUGGACUGUCCUUGAAGAGAGUUCGUGUGUGCGCCGUCGCGGAAGAAGCCGCCGUCGCUUCUUCUCCUUCUUCGGAGGGCGCCGCCGCCAGGAGGCUCUACAUCGGCAACAUCCCCAGAGACGUCGACAACGCCCAGCUCGCCCAAAUCGUUGAGGAACACGGCGCCGUUGAAGCAGCUGAGGUGAUGUACGACAAGUACUCUGGCAGAAGCCGCCGAUUUGCAUUUGUUACGAUGAAAACGGUCGAGGAUGCCAACGCCGUAGUAGAGAAACUGAAUGGCUCUCAAAUAGGAGGCCGGGAGAUCAAAGUGAACAUCACUGAAAAACCUUUGUCGUCGGUGGAUUUGUCCCCUUUUCAAGCUGAGGAAUCCCAGUUUGUUGACAGCCCACACAAAGUAUAUGUGGGAAAUCUUUCUAAGUCAGUAACUACAGACACGCUGAAGCAAUUUUUCUCUGAGAAGGGACAGGUACUAAGUGCAAAGGUCUCACGGGUUCCGGGAACAUCAAAAUCCAGUGGGUUUGGUUUUGUUACCUUUUCCUCGGAUGAGGAUGUGGAAGCUGCUAUCGCAUCUUUUAACAAUGCUCUUAUGGAAGGACAACGAAUUCGUGUGAACAAGGCGUAGCAGUAAGAGAGAGCUUUGGCUUUUCAGAUAUGUACAUCAUUUAUGUAUCCUCCGGAGAUAUCAGCUUUUUGCAAUUUUGGAGUGUUUUGGUUCUAUUUAUAUACCUGAAAAGGGUAGGGGAUGAAGGAGAUAGUUUUGAAGCUCGGUUGCAUAUCGAACCGGCCAGCCAGGUCUUUCCAGAAGCAGAUAAGCUUACAAAAUGGAACCUAAUACCUCUGGAAGAUUUAUUGGCAGGAGAAGCUUAUUUUCGUUGCUUGGGAAAUGGACAUUUCUUUGAUACAUUCAAAACUUGAAAGAACAUGUUCUAAUUUUUGCAAUGGCAGAGUGUAUAAUGCACAGACCGUGCGAGAGUAUGAAAAAUGAGGCUUUGAGUAUGAAAAAGUUUUGCCAUAUUGAGGGCCAUCGCGGGGAAGAGAAGAGGAGGGGAAGUGGAGUAGUGAGCUGUGGGUUGAGAGUGAGGGUAAAUGGACUUGCUCGGAAGGAUUGGUAUUUUUUCUUUUUAUCUUUUGAAUGUGCGAAAUUAACGUUUAUAACUCAAGGCACUCGAAAAUUUUCAAGUUA